AGUGAACGCUGGCGGUAGGCCUAACACAUGCAAGUCGAACGGCAGCACAGUAAGAUCUUGCUCUUACGGGUGGCGAGUGGCGGACGGGUGAGGAAUACAUCGGAAUCUACUUUUUCGUGGGGGAUAACGUAGGGAAACUUACGCUAAUACCGCAUACGACCUACGGUUGAAAGCAGGGGAUCUUCGGACCUUGCGCGAUUGAAUGAGCCGAUGUCGGAUUAGCUAGUUGGCGGGGUAAAGGCCCACCAAGGCGACGAUCCGUAGCUGGUCUGAGAGGAUGAUCAGCCACACUGGAACUGAGACACGGUCCAGACUCCUACGGGAGGCAGCAGUGGGGAAUAGUGGACAAUGGGCGCAAGCCUGAUCCAGCCAUACCGCGUGGGUGAAGAAGGCCUUCGGGUCGUAAAGCCCUUUUGUUGGGAAAGAAAAGCAGCAGGUUAAUACCACGCUGUUCUGACGGUACCCAAAGAAUAAGCACCGGCUAACUUCGUG
rnacentral:rRNA from 1 species